rnacentral:rRNA from 1 species
UACGUAGGGGGCGAGCGUUGUCCGGAUUUAUUGGGCGUAAAGAGCGUGUAGGCGGUUCGGGAAGUCUGUCGUGAAAUCCUGAGGCUCAACCUCGGGCGUGCGAUGGAUACUGCCGGGCUAGAGGGUGGUAGAGGCGAGUGGAAUUCCCGGUGUAGCGGUGAAAUGCGCAGAUAUCGGGAGGAACACCAGUAGCGAAGGCGGCUCGCUGGGCCACACCUGACGCUGAGACGCGAAAGCUAGGGGAGCGAACAGG